UACGUAGGGUGCGAGCGUUGUCCGGAAUUAUUGGGCGUAAAGAGCUCGUAGGCGGUCUGUCGCGUCUGAUGUGAAAACUCAAGGCUUAACCUUGGGCCUGCAUCGGGUACGGGCAGACUAGAGUGUGGUAGGGGAGACCGGAAUUCCUGGUGUAGCGGUGAAAUGCGCAGAUAUCAGGAGGAACACCGGUGGCGAAGGCGGGUCUCUGGGCCAUAACUGACGCUGAGGAGCGAAAGCAUGGGGGGCGAACAGG
rnacentral:rRNA from 1 species